UAAUACGAAGGGGGCUAGCGUUGUUCGGAAUCACUGGGCGUAAAGCGCACGUAGGCGGAUCGUUAAGUCGAGGGUGAAAUCCCAGGGCUCAACCCUGGAACUGCCUUCGAUACUGGCGAUCUUCGAGUCCGGGAGAGGUGAGUGGAACUCCGAGUGUAGAGGUGAAAUUCGUAGAUAUUCGGAAGAACACCAGUGGCGAAGGCGGCUCACUGGCCCGGUACUGACGCUGAGGUGCGAAAGCGUGGGGAGCAAACAGG
rnacentral:rRNA from 1 species